GUUUGAUCCUGGCUCAGGAUUAACGCUAGCGGCAGGCCUAAUACAUGCAAGUCGAACGGGAUUUCGGGUAGCAAUAUCUGGAUGAGAGUGGCGCACGGGUGCGUAACGCGUAUGCAAUCUACCGCUGACUGGGGGAUAGCCCUCCGAAAAGGAGGAUUAACACCGCAUAACACUAUGAAGGGGCAUCUCUUUGUAGUCAAAACUCCGGUGGUCAGCGAUGAGCAUGCGUCCGAUUAGCUAGUUGGCGAGGUAACGGCUCACCAAGGCAACGAUCGGUAGGGGGUCUGAGAGGAUGAUCCCCCACACUGGUACUGAGACACGGACCAGACUCCUACGGGAGGCAGCAGUAAGGAAUAUUGGACAAUGGGCGACAAGCCUGAUCCAGCCAUGCCGCGUGAAGGAU
rnacentral:rRNA from 1 species